GUCUCUAGCUCAGCGGAAGAGCACCUGCUCUGCAUGCAGAAGGUCCCAGGUUCAAUCCCCACCAUCUACA